CACACUGUGUAACUCGUUCCGCUAGCACAAUGAACGUUAUAAUAACAUCGUUGGUGAUAUGGUCAAUUUGCAUCGGCGACCAAACUGGUAUGCUUGGAUUUAUCGUAUUUGUUGAAGCGCUUACCUGUCUUCAUUGCGAUUACGUUGUGCAGCCUCGACACUGCGACACGGUCCUUUCAUGCCCGGAUGAUGAUGCUUGCUCUGUCGAGAGGCAGACAAAUACCUUUGGUGAAAUAGGCUACAGCCUGGGGUGUCGAGCAAAAAGUGGUGUGGAAAUUCAACCUUCAGUUCAAGUCAUUGCUUGCAAUGUUGUGACAGCGACGUGUGCAAUCAUGCUGGAUGCGGUGAAGAAGUUUAAAAUUCCAAAUACGGAUAAUUGGUCGACAAUUUCCUUGGUUCUCCUGUUUUUAAUGUAUAUAUAGCUAAAUAUCAAAUAAAUGUAUGUUUUAUAACUAAUUGAUCACAAGGGUAAUAUAAGUUCUUUUUAUACUUCAAAAUCAAACAAACGCAUACAACGUCACACAUCACAUACAUUUUUCGUGAAAUAAUCAUACCGCCAAUCUUGAAUAAAAACACGACAUACGUGAUAAAGGUAAAAAUAAAAAAACAUAAAAAUAAAAAAAGGGGGAGGGGGUUUAAGAGCGUGUUUUUGUAAGUAUACUGAACACCCAAAAUAGCUGCGAAACCAUUCUUCUUCCAGGAUAUCCACCCAAAGUGGCCCUGUGUGUUACAGUUGUCAGAAUCCGUUACCUGAGGGCCGUUGCCAUCAUGUUGAAGUUUGUCAGAAACGAGAGAUGUGCAGUGCCAAUGGCCAGGACAAGUUUGGAACAACAUUAUUUACAUCCGGUUGCAUAUCAAAAGAGUGUCCCGACCAGGAAUUGAACCGGGAACCUCUGGAACGGUAGACCAGAAUGUUACCACUCGACUACCGCACCACCCAACUACGCUACUAUAUUUACUAAAUCCCUUUGCAAGGAAUUGCUCUGAACUCCACAAUAUUGACUCCUCCCUACCAAGUGGCGUGCACACCAUCACCACCCCUGUCACUCACACCAAGAUACAGGUGUACUGUGACAUGGAGACCGAUGGAGAAGGAUGGACGGUCUUUCAAAAGCGGUUCAAUGGCAGCGAGAAUUUCUAGCGGAACUUCAGUGACUAUGAAAACGGCUUUGGAUUGGUCCAUGCAGGAAACAAACACCCACCAUGAACUGUUUCAUCAAUUAUUUAAAAUUAAAGAUUCUGAUUAAAAAAAGAAAUAGCCCUCAACAACGAUACACUUCAUAUAUUUGAACUUAAAUGGAAACAUAUUAAACUUUCAUAAACAUGUCCAGUUUGUUAUCUACCCACUUUAUGCAACUCAUAUUUAUUCAUAUAUAUAACAUGUUUGAACAUUAU